CAGUUGACCUUACUAAGAAGCUAUGUUAACAAUUUAGACUUAUAAUCUUCUGCCGUUACAUUUUGUUAACUUUUUUUUUUUUUUUAAAGCAAAAUUCAUUAUCUCCUUUGGUACCCUGCAGGUUAAACCUAUUGAUUUCUCUCUAACUUAUUUUGUAAGAUUUCUAAAUUAUAUUUAAACUUUUUGUACUUAAAAGUUUGUUUUUCCAGUGUCUCCUUGAAAAGAGAUUUUUUUUGUCUCCGUUGCUCUCUUUGUACUUGGUCUGCAGAGGCCAUGUGCCUUCACAGCACUUUCCUUAGGAGAAAAUCCCAAACUCUCCAUCUGCAGAGUCCUGCAAGUACAUUUGAACUCUUUGAUUUGGCACUAUCAUGUCUUUGUGGCUCAUCAGGUUUGAAGAUGAUGUCCAGGGAAAAUAUUUUGGAUCCUGCCUUUACCAAACAGUAGCAGCCUCCUGGUAAACUGGAUUCAGCCUCCCUGGGUUUAACCUUUGUUCCCUGGCUCUGUGUAGCAAUGGCCAGCACCGGGCCUGCUUAUUAACAAAACCAGCACAUCCUAACACAGCAACAAUAGCGAAAUGCCCCAGGGGAGAGGAGAGCUGCACCCUGUGACCCUUUAGGCUCUGGAGCCCUAAAUAGAGGUGCUUGUGCUCUCUACUGCUGCUUGAGCAAAAAAACGUGUCAGUAGUAGAACCCCAUAAUGUAGAAUAGUUUCCAAAAUGCCCAAGGUAUAACCCUCCCAGCUCUGUGAUCCCCGGCAGCGCAUGUUUAUUGUGGAUGCUGCCUCCCAGUCACCUCUCAUCUAAAAGCUACAGCUGUGACUCUGCCAGUAAAUAAAACAGGGACAGGGGUUCUGGGGCCUGAGGCCAAGUGGCAUGGACUGGCCAUAUGGGCAUGGUAUGACCUGUGAGCCUCCGGCACGAUCGUUAUUUUGAGCAGGUUUAUAUAUUUUCAGUCUGCAGUGCGGAAAUAAGGAGGGGGCUGUGCUGCAGCGGCCCCGAGAGUCAGCAGGUACGGGCUGUCUCUCCGCCAAAGCGGGACCGAGUUGCGACUUGCAGCUGCAAGCACAGGGCGAGACAGUAUGGGCGUUUUCACAUUUCAGUGUUUCCUCAGUUGCUAUUCAUUCUUCACGCUAUUGCAACAGUUGCUUAGACUUCAUACAGCGAGAGCAAGAUAUUGACAGCUGCCUUCCUGUUGUAAAGCCAACACAGAGCGUGAGAGAAGCCCAGUAUGGAUCCCAGAGACAGAAGGCAGUUUUUUAUUCUUUAAUCUCUAGCUUUGCAGAGCAGAGCCGGUGUGAACGCAACAGGAAAGACUUUUGCCAUCUGAACCUCACCAUUGCCUUGGCACACGCUUGGCCACCAUCGGCGCUGGCCCAGCAGCAGCACAGCUUUCCCGGGCAGCACUCGGGCUGGCACAAAUGAGCUCGGAGGGAAAGGGUCCCCACCAGAUCCCUCCCACUGGCACGGCCGCAGCACCUGACAGAUCUCCCUGGGGCAACUGAAGCCUCUGGAGCAUCACACGAACCCACAGCUGAACCUGAGCUAAAAUCCUGUCCAAGAAAGAGGAAGGCUGCUGUGAGGCAAACUGAAUGAACCUCUGAAGAAAUGCCAGUGUGACUGGGAUUGACAGCGUGCCUGGGUGAGACCCACACAGCCAGCCUGUUGGACCAUACAGCCCUGUCAUCUUACGUGGCCUCAGGCAAGGAAAACUGAAGUGGCAAUGAACUUGUCUGACUUCUGGUUAAAGGCUGAACUGCCUGGCUUCCUUUGGCUGGCUGGGAGGCUUCAUUUCAAGGAGUUCCUAUGAGGAUAAUCUCAUUCCAUCUGUUCCGAAGUAUCCUGGCAAUGAUGAAACACAAAAGAAUGAGGAAGUGGGUGUUAAGGCAGAAUAAAUGGGAGAGACUGUGGCCAGAAGAAAGCAUCGCAACCCAAUGGGGAGAUUGUGGAGCAUUAUGUAUCCUUGAAGAGCUCCUUUCACGUUGCUUUCUUCCACAUGCUGUUGUAUUGCCUAAUAUAAACUCAAAAGAGCUCCUCUUUGCAAGGUGCAAAUUGAACAGAAAACCAGCAUGUGAAACAGAAGUGAAUUUCCCUUCCUGAAUCUUGCAGAUAAGUUGGAUUGUCUUUUGAUUCAAAAAACACGUACAAAGAAAAUGUUCAGCUGGAGGUCUAUUUGCCAGCUCCUUACAAUUUUUCUUCAAGCAGAGGAUUAGCUCUAGUUAAUGCCUGCAAAAAUUAACCUCUGUUUACUCACUAUGCUAAGAAAGACCAUUAUCAAAAAGACAUACAAACCUAAAUUUGGAUAUUUCUGAAAUAGAACCAACUGGAUAAUAUGAGAAGCAACCACCACUACCAGCAUGCUAUAUAUGCACAACAACACCCUUUCAAGUUUUACACAGUCUGGAAUAGUGGCAGCAGGCCAGCACAUUACCCCCUAAUCCAUUCCAAACCCAGGUUUCUAAAUUUAUAAAUAUUCAUAUAUGCCAUAGAAAACUACUAAGGGCUUUAGUCACACACUUUUUGCAUAAUCUUUAUGUUCCAAAAAUGAAUGUUUGCCCUUUUUUUGCAUAAGGAUCAGAGUGUGCAUUCCCUUUUGUUCAUCUCCACAAAACCCAAAAAGCAAUAUGUGCAGAUUCUCUAAUCCUCAUUUCACACCUGAAAGGUGAAGAGGCUUGACAAAAAGAAGCAUCAGUGGCCAGCAUCAUGGCACUGGCUUGUGCUGCUAUGGCAGGUCAGCCCUUCCAGAGCUGUUUCAUGACUUCUGCUCCCUCUGCAGGUGCCAUUUCUGUGACAUGCUGGGUAGUGGGACAUGGAGAUGAUGCCAUGGAAAGUGAUCUUUACUCAGGCUGCCUGAUGAUUUGAGAAAUGGUGCUGAUAAAGUUCCCAAAUAACUGUAUCUUCCCUCUGUCUCUGAAUACAAAAUUCUGUACUGGCAGUCAGAAUUCAGGAUUAUGCAGCUGAGGUUUGAAAAAGGUGUAAAUCAGUAAGUGGUCAAGAGUAUGAAAUAUUGCCUGUCCUUAAGGAGAGUCAUGCUCAGUACUUUUUAAACUUUCUCUUCUCUCCCUGGCAAGACAUAAUUCUAGGAAAGGGCUUUUAAAUUUUUUUCUAAAUAUAUAGCUAUAAAAGCAGUGUCACUUUAAUGUUAUAUAUUGCUGAGUACUGUGCUGCAGGUUGUAAGUUGUCCUGUAUCUGCUAAAUCAUACAGAGGUUAUAGGAACUAAUACAACUGACAGCUUUGGGAGCUCUCCUCCACCUGACAAGAAGGUCAUCAAUGGACCUAAAAGGCAAGUGUGUAUUCUGGAUCACCAACUAAUUGCGUUUGCUGUCUACUGACAUCUUUUUUAUCUUUCACCUACUUGCAGCUCUCAAAAUGUCCUCAACCUGCCAAACUACAACUACAGCAUUUUAAAAGCUUUACAAGCCUAUUCAUUCCUUCUUCCUCUAUGACAAGUAUAUCUUCAGUUUUUACAUAGAUGGGUCUUCUAAAGCAACACUUAUAACUAACAUCUGCUGUCACCUCACUUGUGGAGAAAAGAUGCAGGUAGUUUUUACCACACAAGGUCAUGUACCUUGUCUCCAUCAGCUUCUUACAGUGCGACAAGUAAAAGACCUUCAAUACUUCUCUAAAAUCAUGUCUUGUUUGGUAUUGAAGACAAAGCAUUCUACAAAAGACGUAGAGUACUAAUACCAGUAAUUCAGUUAUACUGACAAAAGCAUAAAUAACAUGUUCCAGACUGGAUUUUAAGACCAAAGCUUGUUUCCUCCAACCCCCCCUUACUUCAUGCAAUAAAUGGCAUAGUAAAGAGCACAAGUACAGUGCAAAAUGAAGAGUAUACCUAUUUCUGACACAUUUGUUUGCCCACAUCUUGUACAAACCAAAUGAGUCUGCUUAUAAACUUGCCUCUUCACACACAGCUGUGGCUCUGCCACACAUGGUGUUCUCCUCCCUGGCCAGAUGCCCCUGCUCUCCUCCCAAUCGGAGGCAUCCGUAGGGAUCGGGAGAUGGGGAAGAAGGAGCAGACAGUUACAAAGGCAGCAGCAGGCAAAGGUCAGCAAUGCUCUGCAGAGUGAUGUCCCCCCACACUGCCACCACCACGUUUCUGUCACUACACCUCUACAAAGACUGAUUUACAGGAAAGUAUAGCAGGAAAAAAAUUACUCUGUCCCUUUCCUUUUUAGCUUCCCUUGCUAAAAAAACCCUAUGCUAAUGUGAUUUAACACCAUCUGUCUGCUUUUCCCUUUUUCUCCAGAUGAUUUUGUCCAAUUUGAAAAAAAGAACCCAGAGUUUUCAAACAUAAGAAAGCUCCUAGCAAUUUUCUGUGAAAAUAGAUGGCUGUGGACAAGAGAAAGAUUGUGUAAGUGCCCUCUUCUCCUGUCUCCUUCGGGGAAAAGGCUGUAGUGCGAGUUCCUAUGUUAUGACAAAAGCCUAUUCACACAGAAUUCCCCAGCCAUGAAGAAAGCACACGUGGCCCAGCCACAAGGAAAGCUCUGAGCAGAGCUCAGGCAGCCAUGAAACACAAACGUUUGGGAACCCAGGCCCUGCUGUUUCUGGCACUUGGGAACUUCUGGCUCAGACACUGUCUGACAGCUCCUGCCUGUUUUAAGAUGCAUUGUUUAAAAUAAAUAAUAACAGAAACAUCAGAAAACAUAAAAGAUGUAAAGGUAGCUGUUUCAGCUUGAAAAGAUGCCGCUAGAUCAAACUUCUGCUUUUGGCUGCCAGUUACAGGAAUAAAGUUGUCAGCAGCACAUCAGCUGUCGGGAUCAGAGCUCUGUGGUGAGAAUGCAGACACGAUGCCAGAGGCUGUUCUCGGUUUCAUCACUGUGCUCACACGAGAGGCAGAGGGACCAAUCUCCUCCAGCAGCAAAUGGCACCACCAGCAGCAACUACCCAGAUAUUUUUAUUCAUAAACUUCAGCAAGCAUCAAAAUUAGGCUGGAUCAAGGGAAAUAAUUUUCCAAGGAAUGAAGAUGUUUUAGAUUAGUAAGACUGGCUCCCAGAGGUACCAGAGAUACCUCUUCAGAGGUAUCUCCACCUGCUCAUGACAGAACAUCCUGCUGCAGAACGAACAGACAGAAACAACAAAUGGCAGGACAUGAUUCCUGUAAGGAAAUCUGGUUUCUGCUUUUUGCCUGAAAAUGGCAGAAUAAUAUCACAGGUUUACCUUGAGUUUAUACUUAUGUAAAAGAGAGCUGAAUUUAUCUGAGUGUUAUCUGGCUGAGUGGUCUUGUCUUCACUAGUUAAUAUCUGGCAAUUAUGUGUGGAUAUGACAGUUGUAAGCUUAACACAAGUAGGCGGAAGCGACUGAGGUUUAACAGUAGGCUUUUCUUCUUUGCUUGACCUGAUGACACAUGCAAAAAGCUAAAAAUUGCCAGGUCCACAUUAGGAAUUGAGUGAAUUAUGUGGGUGGAAUCUGAAUACAUGUUGCUUUGAAGAGAAAUGGGUUGAGAAAAGCAGUAAAAAUACCAUAGAAGCAUGCAGAAUAGCUAGUGAAGAACAUUAAAAACAGAAAAGAUAUACUUGUAGUAAGGCCUGGAGGAAAAAUGGAAUAAGCUUUUAGGUAGAGCACCACCAGAAGAAAGGUUUAGCAUACUGAGUGAUGAAAACAUUUCCGUUUCCAUUCUGUGGAGGAACAUGAGACAGAUUGAUUCUUUGAAAAAGACAUAGCAUCAAAAAUACAUUAAUUGAUCUUCACUUUCCCCUCCUAAAGGAAAUUCCCAAAGCUCAGAUUACUGAUCAAAAUGGAUGAUACUACAUUUACGUCAUAUAAAAUUUUAUUUAAAACUUCUGGUUGCUACUAGUUAUCUCCACAUUCUGGAGAUAACAUACUUCCGAAGAUAAGGCAAUGUGCAGACUAGGGUGAAAAGGGCAGACCUGCAGCAGCCUAGAUACAGAUCAGUGUAAGCUGCUGGAAAAUUCACUCUUGGCCUUGGGAGUGCCAAACUGUGGUACACAAUGGUGCAGAACCAUUUCUAAAUGACAAGCCUGGGUUGAAUUUCUGUCUAUGGGCAAGUGCUCACAAGAAAGGUCCUGCCUCCUGUAAUGACUUUUACACAUAAUCAGGCACAAAUAGCAGCCUGAGGCCUGCAGAUGUACUGGCUCUUCAGGAAGCGUAAGAAGCCAAGUGAGGUGGAGAACACAGAGCCAGCCUCAGAGCCAUGGCUAUAGCUAUGCAGCUGCCAUCCCUCCUGGUUUGGAGGUGCUCCAGCCAAGUCCAAAAUCCUUUGUGUUUCCCAAAACAUUUACUGUCUACACUAAAAUAUAUAUAUUUAUCUAUCUAAUUAGAACAGGCAGUCCAGGAAAAAGUCCUUUUCUGCAGGUAGAAGGCUCAAGGCCUUUGGAAGGAGAUGGCAACGCAGUCUGUGUAUGCAAUUACAGAACGUCAUUAUCGCAAAGUGAGGUCAGGCCCUUAGUUGGGCAUUAGCACUACCAUUCACCCACAAAAAAGCCUGAUCUUAGUAGAGAAGUAUUUUCACCCUAAGACAGAGGCUGUCCUGGAGUUACAGACUAAUUCCCUUGGAGUGAUGAUUGCUUUGCUGUGAAGUUCUCUAAAGGGCUGAAAGUCCUCCCUUUUUCCCCUCUGUGGUAUCAGUGCUCAAGAGGUAAGACACACUCCUCAGGAGUGCAGUGAAAAUAACCACGGAGAGGUUCUGGUUACUGUAGUACUAAGAACAAGCAGAUACAGGUGCCGGAGCACAUAUGCUCUAGCAUGGCUGCUGAAUGGAGCUUUCCUGCAGGAACAGUAGGUCUGGUUUGGUUUUGCAGUGCAGCUGCCCAUAGCUGGGUUUGGCCAACCUUGGUCUCAGACGCAGGUGUCAUUAACCACAUUAUUUAAGAACAUGGCUUUAGCAACCAAGAAAAUGGCUUCUCACUGUUGAGAUUUCUGUCAUGGGAAGUUGCCUGCCUGUAAUUUUUGACAAUGGUGUUUGAAAUUAGGAGAGCUUAGGUGCAGGACUUAAAUAGAAUUUGAGCAUAAUCUGGCCGCCUGUCAUUGAUCCCCCUUUCCAAUAUGAAAGCAAUCAAGUCAGAGAAGUCUCUUUUUGCUUGUCAAAGGAAAGAAGAAAAUAAGGUGUUGUGCAUGUUCUGCUCCUUUCAUUCUCUGAGGAGCAAUGCAGAACUAUCCCGGUCUGAGGCCAUUCAGUCCUGUUUGAAGGAACAGCAGUUAAAAUCACAGCUUGGUCCCAAACUAGCUGUUACUGACCCUGUCUAACAGCUCUGCUUCUUGUCACUGCUGCUGCCUCUCCUAGGAAACAUUCUGGCUGUGCACGGCUCAGCGGGCAGCUUUCUCUGCACCUCUCUGAGGUUUUCCAGAAACCCAGAGGUCCCACGGGCUGUGCACAACACAGACUACUUUUGCCAGCUCUUGGUCCUGCCCUGGAAGUCAUUGUAGAGAAGUUCACUCUUGAAGAGAUGAAUAGGGAGGUCUUUUUAAUUUUUCAUUUCAAAUAUGUCAUACAUACCAUUUUUUCGAAGUUUACUAGAUUGUCAGUGAAUGUCUUGUUUCCCUCAUGAGUAAACGUCAUGUCUGUAUAGAAAUAAAAGACACAUGAAAGCCCAUUACUGAAUCAUGGCUAUGCAAAACAGCAGAACAUUUUAUCUAUUCCUUAAGAAAAUCAAAGCAGCUAUAAAAGUAAAACCUUUAGUUUUUAAUUUGCAGCAUUUCUGAGACUAGUAAAAUUGCUGAAUGAUAUUUAGAUGUACUAAAGCGGUUUUUCUUGUCUCUGUGUCAUGCUUUUCCUAAUGGAAAAAGAUCAUAUCUCACACAGAGAUUGAUUUUUGCUUUUUCUUGCUGCUACUCUUGUUCUUCAAAUAUUUGACAAAGAGCUUUCAAGUUAAUAAUUCUGGUAACAUCUAAGCUUACCUUUUAUAAGUAGUGGCAUGAAAGGAAUUAUUGGAGGGUCCAACUUAGCUACAGUUAGUCUGUAGGCCCUAUGGUUUCUUGAUGGAUCCUUAAGAAAAAAGAGAAAUCAAAUAAUUACUAAUAUGUGUUAUUAUUAUUAUAUAUUGUAUAUGUUUUCACUUAGAUGUCAUGGCAUUAAUUAAAAUCAUUCUUUUCUCCUGUGGCUUUAAAAGUGCAUUUGCAAACUUUUAUCGUUCUCCCAUACAGCUUACAUGGUGAGAAUGCAGCCACUAAACAAACCUUUUUCAUGCCAAAUAGCAAGGUAAGACAUGAUUACAAAAGAAUGGUUCAUAAAAGGAACCACACAUUUUCCCUCCCUCCCUGCAGCUGCAGAUCCAGUUUUGCAUAUAUUGCUACACUAAAAUGUAUUCCCUGGAAAAAUCCAGGUUGGAAAAUAUAAUUUCCUAUAUAUACUAUCAGAAAACAUGUGAUAAAGCUUUCCUGAGUUCCCAGAUUAACUUUGAGUGGUACAUAAGUUCUCUCAGAGUGGGUUCCUAAGAGUAUAAUUUAUUAGUCAUACAUACUUGUUUUAGCAGCUCUAAAAUGGGAUCAUAAACUUCUUAAAGUCAAACAAGGACACAUAAAAUGUUCUGAAUCAAGGAAUUCAAAUCAGUUGCUCAGAAACUGAAUUAGCUCAGAUUGUGCAUAGAAUAAGGGAUCUAUUGGUAUUCACCAUUAAGCUCUCAAACUCUGCAUAGAUCUUCUUGAACUUGCUUGGAAGUUUCUGUUAAUAAAAACAAAAAUAGCAAACCUUAAUUAAAUUCAAUUUGUGUGGUAAUUUUACUGUAAAUGCUAGUUCCUUCUACGACGCCCUAAGUCAGGAAAGUGCUCUUUUUGCCAGAUAUGUCUAACAAUGUGUUAAUCUAAAAUACAACAGGUCUCCUAGCAACCAGAUUAUAAAUAGAGACAGGACCAGCCAUGAAACCUGGAUCCUGAUUUAAACCCCACCUUGAAUUUACUCCUUUGGGAUGUUUAGGUUCAGAUUUUUGUUUGGCUCACAUCACGAUCACUGAAUUCAGAAUGUAAGCGAAAGUUCAAGUCAAUGGUUUCAGGACAUUCCUGAUUAUAGCCUACCUGAAAAUAUAAUUUACACACAGCUUGCAUAGGGGUAGCUCGGCUUAAUUAUUCAUACAUAUAAUGAACUGCCCUUGCAACAUCCAAAUCCAUGCCUGGGCAUUUCCAGGUUGUGGGGUUUUUUUGUUUGUUUGUAUGGUUUUUUGUUCAUGCUGAUGUAUCACCAACUGUUGUUCAAAAUCUGGACAUGCCCAGCAGCCAAGGGCCUCUACCGCUUUCUAGGGUAUAAAUUAAUGAACAGUUUUUCUGUCCAUAAUAUCUACACAAAUAAAUCAUGGCCAGUUGAUCAUGCAGUGAUUGGGAUGAGAUGGGCUUUACUAAAUAUUUUCUUUCCUCCUCAUGUUAUGUUACACAAAUUAAAUAAUUUCCCUGUAAAGACUGUGUAUUAUAAAUUAGUUUCAGAGAUCACAGUAAUGUUUUAUGCACUCUCAGAAUAUGUCAGCUUCCUAGUUUUAGUAAGAAAUUUCUCUAUAUUUGCUGAUUAAAUCAGUCUACUAUUGGCAGCAGGUAACAUUAAAAAUUAAUAGAGACUUCAUAGUGCAGAAAUGAUUUUUUGCAAUACUUUCUACAUUUGGAGUGUGUACCCUAGCAAGAUAUUUACACUGUGCCACAGCAAGGGCCUAAUUUUUAAUGAUGUGUGUGAACAACUGUGUGCCUAGUUUGCAUAUGCAUGCAGAUUAGGUAUUUGUGAAAUAAGUGGUAUAAUUGGACAUUUGCACCUGCAAAUACCUAAUUUGUGCAUGCAACUAAUGUAAAUGCAUGAUAAUAUAGCAAAAAUCAGGUCUUGAUAUGUUUGUUUUUAAGUAUAUUCUAGAUGUAUAUCUGGCUAAAAAUCAAGCAGAAGAGAUUCUCUUGAUAAACUGACUGACCUACAGAACCAGAGUGCAAUAACAUUUCCCUGAACUACACCUACUAAUGAUUUGUGCCCCUUCAGCUCACACCCUGUGCCCAUUUCAGAUUACUGUAUGUAGCAUAUACAUUCAGUUCCUCUUCUUUCUUCAUAGUACCCCUCUACUGUCUCCACUCUCCCCACUAUUCCCCUCAGUAGCCACAAAUGAGGAGUCAUUCAUUUGAGAACCUGAUCUGCACCGAUUGUAUACACCGCUUGCAACAGGUACUUUUGAAGGCUGGGCUGAUGUCUCCUCAGAUGUGUUAGUCUGAUCUGUCUCAGAGCACUUUUUUGAAGAUGUUCAAAUUUUGGUCUCAG